GAAUAAAACAUUACGUUCUCAAACCAAGCAGCAGCAGAUGGGGGAGUGUAGAUUUCCAGACCAACUAGAUUCUCCUACGGGCCAAAAGCGAUAGAUUCGACACUCUCCGAUCACUUCCGUCCGAGACCAGGAGAGUAUUUUCGAACAGGAGAUGAACAGGAACGGGUCCCUAUAUCGUCUAAAUGUCCAAAAGUUGCAUUGCAUCGUAGAAUCCAGGAUAACCGCGAAAUCCAGUCGGGUCGUUUGCCAGACCAGCUGUCUCAAGUCAUUUAUAAAAAUCACGAACAGUAACGGACCCAGAACAGAUCUCUGAGGCACACAACUGGUCACCGACCUCCAUGCAGAAAAUGGCAUGUCCACACCCACACUUUGCCUUCUGUGCGCACGCCAAUUCUGGAUCCACAAGAGAUUCUACACUCUCCGAUCACUUCCG